rnacentral:rRNA from 1 species
CCUACGGGUGGCAGCAGUGAGGAAUAUUGGUCAAUGGACGAGAGUCUGAACCAGCCAAGUAGCGUGAAGGAUGACUGCCCUAUGGGUUGCAAACUUCUUUUAUAAAGGAAUAAAACGAGGCACGUGUGCCUUUUUGCAUGUACUUUAUGAAUAAGGAUCGGCUAACUCCGUGCCAGCAGCCGCGGUAAUACGGAGGAUCCGAGCGUUAUCCGGAUUUAUUGGGUUUAAAGGGAGCGUAGAUGGGUUGUUAAGUCAGAUGUGAAAGGUUGCGGCUCAACCGUAAAAUUGCAAUUGAUACUGGCAGUCUUGAGUACAGUUGAGGUAGGCGGAAUUCGUGGUGUAGCGGUGAAAUGCUUAGAUAUCACGAAGAACCCCGAUUGCGAAGGCAGCUUACUAAGCUGUGACUGACAUUGAUGCUCGAAAGUGUGGGUAUCAAACAGGAUUAGAUACCCCUGUAGUC